rnacentral:rRNA from 1 species
GACGAACGCUGGCGGCGUGCUUAACACAUGCAAGUCGAACGGAAAGGCCCUGCUUUUGUGGGGUGCUCGAGUGGCGAACGGGUGAGUAACACGUGAGUAACCUGCCCUUGACUUUGGGAUAACUUCAGGAAACUGGGGCUAAUACCGGAUAGGAGCUCCUGCUGCAUGGUGGGGGUUGGAAAGUUUCGGCGGUUGGGGAUGGACUCGCGGCUUAUCAGCUUGUUGGUGGGGUAGUGGCUUACCAAGGCUUUGACGGGUAGCCGGCCUGAGAGGGUGACCGGCCACAUUGGGACUGGGAUACGGCCCAGACUCAUACGGGAGGCAGCAGUGGGGAAUGUUGCACAAUGGGCGGAAGCCUGAUGCAGCAACGCCGCGUGCGGGAUGACGGCCUUCGGGUUGUAAACCGCUUUCGCCUGUGACGAAGCGUGAGUGACGGUAAUGGGUAAAGAAGCACCGGCUAACUACGU